UACGUAGGGGGGCUAGCGUUGUCCGGAAUCAUUGGGCGUAAAGCGCGUGUAGGCGGCCCGGUAAGUCCGCUGUGAAAGUCGGGGGCUCAACCCUCGGAUGCCGGUGGAUACUGUCGGGCUUGAGUACGGAAGAGGCGAGUGGAAUUCCUGGUGUAGCGGUGAAAUGCGCAGAUAUCAGGAGGAACACCUAUUGCGAAGGCAGCUCGCUGGGACGUGACUGACGCUGAGACGCGAAAGCGUGGGGAGCAAACAGG
rnacentral:rRNA from 1 species